GUCUCGGUAGUGUAAGGGAUAGAGCACGGUGCCCGGAAGGGACCAAUGCGGGUUCGAGUCCCGUUCGAGACU
rnacentral:tRNA from 1 species